GCCUACGGGGCGCAGCAGUUGGGAAUAUUGGACAAUGGAGGAAACUCUGAUCCAGUGACGCCGCGUGAAGGAAGAAGGUCUUCGGAUUGUAAACUUAUUUUAUCAGGGAAGAAAAAAAUGACUGUACCUGAAGAAGAAGCACCGGCUAACUACGUGCCAGCAGCCGCGGUAAUACGUAGGGAGCAAGCGUUAUCCGGAUUUAUUGGGUGUAAAGGGUGCGUAGACGGGUAUAUAAGUUAGUUGUGAAAUCCCUCGGCUCAACUGAGGAACUGCAACUAAAACUGUAAAUCUUGAGUGCGGGAGAG
rnacentral:rRNA from 1 species